rnacentral:rRNA from 1 species
UACGUAGGGGGCGAGCGUUGUCCGGAUUUAUUGGGCGUAAAGAGCUCGUAGGCGGCUUGGCAAGUCGGGUGUGAAACCUCCAGGCUCAACCUGGAGACGCCACUCGAUACUGCUAUGGCUAGAGUCCGGUAGGGGACCACGGAAUUCCUGGUGUAGCGGUGAAAUGCGCAGAUAUCAGGAGGAACACCGGUGGCGAAGGCGGUGGUCUGGGCCGGCACUGACGCUGAGGCGCGAAAGCUAGGGGAGCGAACAGG